CCGUGUGGUCUAGUGGUAUGAUUCUCGCUUAGGGUGCGAGAGGUCCCGGGUUCAAUUCCCGGCG
rnacentral:ncRNA from 14 species